AGGAAAUAGCAUAAAAUUAGUGUAUCUUGCUUACACCAAGAAGGUGGUUAAUAAGGGCCUUUUCUCU
rnacentral:tRNA from 1 species